UUGCACAAUGUCGCCUUGAUUUACACUACCUCUAGAAUUAAGCUCUUUUUCGAUAGUUGUUAUGCACAAAGGAUACACCCCAAAUUCUCUGUUAUCUUUUUUCAAUUCUACAUACACUCCGUAACCCAUGUCAUUGUGUAUUUCCAUUGGCCUGCGAUUUCCUUCAACAUUGUAUUGUAUUUUAUCAGUCUUUGAGCUCAAAUUAAUACCAAGUUGAUUAAAAAUAAAAACAACUAGAUCAUUGAAUGAGGCAUACUCCUUAAUCAGUAUUCCCUCAAUUGAAAAAUUAAUAUAAUUGCCCUCAUCGUUCCACUUGCCAGAAUGACGCAACAAAACUGUUAAACUUGCCAUAUGUAUAGAUGAACUAUACCUUCUUUUGUAUAAAAUUUGUAUCAAUCGAGAAAGAGUAGAAGAGAAUGGAAGAAGUUCGAUCAGAUGUUCCUCUGGUUUUUUGUUGUAUUCACGUUGAACAAUUGUUUAUGUUGCUCUGGUUUUUCGCUGUAUUCACGUUUCUCGG
rnacentral:lncRNA from 1 species